CAGCAGCCGCGGUAAUGCGAGGGGGGCAAGCGUUGUUCGGAAUUAUUGGGCGUAAAGGGCGCGUAGGCGGUUUGGCAAGUUUCGUGUGAAAUCUUCGGGCUCAACUCGGAGUCUGCACGGAAAACUGCCGGGCUUGAGUAUGGGAGAGGUGAGUGGAAUUUCCGGUGUAGCGGUGUAAUGCGUAGAUAUCGGAAGGAACACCUGUGGCGAAAGCGGCUCACUGGACCAUUACUGACGCUGAGGCGCGAAAGCUAGGGGAGCAAACAGGAUUAGAUACCCGCGUAGUCCCUGUCUCUUAUAA
rnacentral:rRNA from 1 species